UACCAGCUCUCCGAGUGGUGUGGAUGUUUAUUGGGCCUAAAGCAUCCGUAGCUGGCUGGACAAGUCCCCUGUUAAAUCCACCGAUUUAAUCGUUGGUGUGCGGGGGAUACUGUUCGGCUAGGGGACGGGAGAGGCCGACGGUAUUUCCGGGGUAGGGGUGAAAUCCUAUAAUCCCGGAAAGACCACCAGUGGCGAAGGCUGUCGGCUAGAACGCGCCCGACGGUGAGGGAUGAAAGCUGGGGGAGCGAACCGGAUUAGAUACCCGGGUAGUCCCAGCUGUAAACGAUGCAGGCUAGGUGUUUGGGCGGCCACGUGCCGCUCUAGUGCCGCAGGGAAGUUGUUAAGCCUGCCGCCUGGGGAGUACGGCCGCAAGGCUGAAACUUAAAGGAAUUGGCGGGGAGCACCACAAGGGGUGAAGCUUGCGGUUU
rnacentral:rRNA from 1 species